rnacentral:rRNA from 1 species
UACGUAGGGGGCGAGCGUUGUCCGAAUUUACUGGGCGUAAAGCGCGCGUAGGCGGAUCCUUAAGUUGUGGGUGAAAUUCCGGAGCUCAACUCCGGAACUGCCUGCAAAACUGGGGGUCUUGAGGUAUGGAGAGGGAAGUGGAAUUCCUGGUGUAGCGGUGAAAUGCGUAGAUAUCAGGAGGAACACCUGUGGCGAAGGCGGCUUCCUGGCCAUAUCCUGACGCUGAGGUGCGAAAGCCAGGGGAG